rnacentral:rRNA from 1 species
UAAACUAGGAUUAGAUACCCUAUUAUUUUGAAUAAUAAWUGUUGCUUGGGUAGUAAUAGUUAUGUUCUUUAAACCCAAAGAAUUUGGCGGUGUUUUAGUCUAUUUAGAGGAAUUUGCCCCGUGAUCGAUAAUCCUCGUUUUAUCUUUCUUAAUUUUGUUUUCAGUAAGUAUACCGCCGUUAUAAGUUUAUUUUUUUAGAAUUGUUAAUUUACUUUAAAAAUUAUUUUUUAAUAUUUCAGGUCAAGGUGCAGCUAAUAAUUAAGUGGAGGUGAAUUACAAUAUUAUUUUAAUAAAUGGAUUUGUAAUUGAAAUUUUACAAUAAAGGUGGAUUUAAUAGUAAAUUUAAUUAGAAUGUUAUUUUGAUUAUAGCUCUAAAAUAAGUACACAUCG